GCGAAUAUUGAGUGCAGACAGUGACUUUCGGGGUUCCCGUGUCCUGCAAGAGGAUAUAGACCCUGCGGGGACCCGGAGAGGGAAAAAGCAAGUUGCUUCCCAGCCCAGAACCUGCAAAGCUGCCAGAUGUGCAGAGUCACCUGUGCGGAACCAAAAUCUCACUGGUUAGAAACUCAGACCCCCGUUCCCACUCCUGGGCUGAUAAAUCAAAUAAAUCUCCGCGUCGAGGACCCAGAAUCUGGAUUUAACCAGAUCCUGAACCUCUGGGGACUGCUGAGUAAGAACUUGAACUUGACAGACUCCACACCCCCCCACACCUCCAAUGGGUGAAAUGGAUGAAAGGGGUCAGAAGUUCAUUUUCAUAGAUGUCCAAAAGGAAAACUUCUUUGUCAAAAGAGUUCUUCAACAACUUCUGGAAGAAAAUACCACUAAUACAAGUACACAGAUAUCAACAUAAGAAAUCAAGAAUCAUGAGAAGUCAGGUGAUUCUUCUAGGCUAAUCAUGGUGAUUCCAGUCUCAUGAUGGUGUGUGGUUAAGAAAUGGGCAUGUGAGCCAAUGCUGAAAAUGAAAAGGAAAGAGUCUUGAUGGGAACAAGGAGAAACUUCUGAGGAAGGUUUCUUGCUUCUAAAAAGAGCAUCCUGAAAAGGUACAACAAUGUCAAGAGAAAGAAGCUGUAUCUGAGACACCAGGAAUUCUGGCAGCCCUGUGAUGCCGACAGCAAAUGGUCUGCGGGGACUUCUGGCCCACUGAGAAGGGCCAGAGAUUAAAUGAACCUGGGUUCUCAAUGCUGGAAU